rnacentral:rRNA from 1 species
GACGAACGCUGGCGGCGCGCUUAACACAUGCAAGUCGAGCGAAGCGGCGGACGGGUGAGUAACACGUGAGUAACCUGCCUUAGACAUUGGGAUAGCCUCGGGAAACCGGGACUAAUACCAAAUGGUCUAAGAUGGACUCGCGUCCAAUUAGCUAGUUGGUGGGGGAGUGGCCUACCAAGGCGACGACGGGUAGCCGGCCUGGGAGGGCGAACGGCCACAUGGGGACUGAGAUACGGGCCAAACUCGACGGGAGGCAGCAGGGGGGAAUAGUGCACAAUGGGGGAAACCCUGAUGAAGCAACGCCGCGUGCGUGAUGACGGCCUUCGGGUUGUAAACCGCUUGCAGCCAUGACGCGGUAGUGGCAGAAGAAGCACCGGCUAACUACGUGCCAGCAGCCGCGGUAAUAC